AAUAAAUAGGAAUCUGCCUAGUAGUGGGGGACAACGUGGUGAAAACCACGCUAAUACCGCAUGAGCCCUACGGGGGAAAGCGGAGGAUCUUCGGACUUCGCGCUAUUAGAUGAGCCUAUUUCUGAUUAGCUUGUUGGUGAGGUAAUGGCUCACCAAGGCGACGAUCAGUAGCUGGUUUGAGAGAAUGAUCAGCCACACUGGGACUGAGACACGGCCCAG
rnacentral:rRNA from 1 species